CGGCGGACGGGUGAGUAACGCGUGGGUAACCUACCCUGUACACACGGAUAACAUACCGAAAGGUAUGCUAAUACGGGAUAAUAUAUUUGAGAGGCAUCUCUUGAAUAUCAAAGGUGGGCCAGUACAGGAUGGACCCGCGUCUGAUUAGCUAGUUGGUAAGGUAACGGCUUACCAAGGCGACGAUCAGUAGCCGACCUGAGAGGGUGAUCGGCCACAUUGGAACUGAGACACGGUCCAA
rnacentral:rRNA from 1 species